AACGAACGCUGGCGGCAGGCCUAACACAUGCAAGUCGAACGCUCCGCAGGGGGAGUGGCGCACGGGUGAGUAACACGUGGGAACCUACCUUCUGGUACGGAACAACCAAGGGAAACUCUGGCUGAUACCGUAUACGACCUCCGGGUGAAAGAUUGAUCGCCGGAAGAGGGGCCCGCGUCCGAUUAGGUAGUUGGUGAGGUAACGGCUCACCAAGCCUGCGAUCGGUAGCUGGUCUGAGAGGAUGACCAGCCACACUGGGACUGAGACACGGCCCAGACUCCUACGGGAGGCAGCAGUGGGGAAUAUUGGACAAUGGGCGCAAGCCUGAUCCAGCCAUGCCGCGUGAGUGAUGAA
rnacentral:rRNA from 1 species